UUUUGUUUCAGUUAAGAAUGCAUGGAUUCUGUUCCUGUUACCUCCACUUUUUUGCCUCAACAACAAGCAAAGCAAGGACCCAUUGAAAAUUGUAAUUGCACCUAGUCUUGUAGGUUAAUUAUCUGAAUAUCUGAAAUUAUAUGGUUGGUUCAUAGCUGCUGUUCAGGUCACUUAUUUAUAGGUUAACACUUGUUUCAUUCAUGCAUAUUUGUGCAGGAAGGAUUGUGUAGAACAGAGGAGAAGGGGCACAUGAUACCAUCCCAGUUUGUUGGCAAACAGGCUCAUUUUAUUUGCUUUGCACAGAUGUGAGUUAAGUAGGUCUAUACCAUAUAAAGUGAGCUAACAAAAGGUGGUUCUCUUCUCUGGUAGAAAGACAUGGCUGUGUUGCUGUAGCGCUGUGUUGUUGUAGCAGUCAACAAGACAUUGAGUAAAAGUUGGGCUCCAUUGCCAUUGGGUUGAAGAGUAAGGAUGGUGUUGUCCUGGCUGUUGAGAAAUGUGUCACCUCACUGCUGCAGGUAUGAUUGAGUAGCGGGCUACUUGGUGCUUCUCAUCACAAUUCGCCACGACCUGAUAGUUUCCAUCAGGAGGGCCGAUGGCAAGAACUUGAAUAACAACCUCAAUAGUUUAUAUGUUUUGUUUAUGUAAACUGGAGUGUACUAUUUCUUAACCUUGCUGUGUGUAUAUUUUGUCAAUCUAUGUUGUAAAUUAUCCUUUCAUGGAGGAUUUUGUGAACUGCAAAU